rnacentral:rRNA from 1 species
AUGAACGCUGGCGGCGUGCCUAAUACAUGCAAGUCGCGCGAACAGACGAGGAGCUUGCUCCUCUGACGUUAGCGGCGGACGGGUGAGUAACACGUGGAUAACCUACCUAUAAGACUGGGAUAACUUCGGGAAACCGGAGCUAAUACCGGAUAAUAUAUUGAACCGCAUGGUUCAAUAGUGAAAGACGGUUUUGCUGUCACUUAUAGAUGGAUCCGCGCCGCAUUAGCUAGUUGGUAAGGUAACGGCUUACCAAGGCAACGAUGCGUAGCCGACCUGAGAGGGUGAUCGGCCACACUGGAACUGAGGCACGGUCCAGACUCCUACGGGAGGCAGCAGUAGGGAAUCUUCCGCAAUGGGCGAAAGCCUGACGGAGCAACGCCGCGUGAGUGAUGAAGGUCUUCGGAUCGUAAAACUCUGUUAUUAGGGAAGAACAAAUGUGUAAGUAACUAUGCACGUCUUGACGGUACCUAAUCAGAAAGCCACGGCUAACUACGUG